GACGAACGCUGGCGGCGUGCCUAAUACAUGCAAGUCGAACGCAGUGGGGACGGGUGAGUAACACGUUGGUGACCUCCCAUCAGAGGGGAUAACACUUGGACACAGGUGCUAAACCGAUCCUGAUGUUUGGACCCGCGGUGCAUUAGCUAGUUGGUGGGGUAACGGCUCACCAAGGCCACGAUGCAUAGCCGACCUGAGAGGAUGAUCUGCCACACUGGGACUGAGACACGGCCCAGACUCCUACGGGAGGCAGCAGUGGGGAAUCUUCGGCAAUGGACGAAAGUCUGACCGAGCAACGCCGCGUGAGUGAAGAAGGUUUUCGGAUCGUAAAACUCUGUUGUUAGAGAAGCGGUAUCUAAACAGAAAGCCACGGCUAACUACGUGCCAGCAGCCGCGGUAAUAC
rnacentral:rRNA from 1 species